rnacentral:rRNA from 1 species
GGUGAACGCUGGCGGCGUGCCUAAUACAUGCAAGUCGAGCGAACGGACGAGAAGCUUGCUUCUCUGAUGUUAGCGGCGGACGGGUGAGUAACACGUGGAUAACCUACCUAUAAGACUGGGAUAACUUCGGGAAACCGGAGCUAAUACCGGAUGAUAUUUUGAACCGCAUGGUUCAAAAGUGAAAGACGGUCUUGCUGUCACUUAUAGAUGGAUCCGCGCUACAUUAGCUAGUUGGUAAGGUAACGGCUUACCAAGGCAACGAUGCAUAGCCGACCUGAGAGGGUGAUCGGCCACACUGGAACUGAGACACGGUCCAGACUCCUACGGGAGGCAGCAGUAGGGAAUCUUCCGCAAUGGGCGAAAGCCUGACGGAGCAACGCCGCGUGAGUGAUGAAGGUCUUCGGAUCGUAAAACUCUGUUAUUAGGGAAGAACAUAUGUGUAAGUAACUGUGCACAUCUUGACGGUACCUAAUCAGAAAGCCACGGCUAACUACGUG